rnacentral:misc_RNA from 1 species
AAGACUAUAGACCUGCGGAGUACCUGCGGAAGGAUCAUUACUGAGUUGAAAAACUCCCAAACCACUGUGAACAUACCAGUACAGUUGCCUCGGCGAGUGGCCCCAGGGCGGGGCCGCUACUUCCGUCCGCGGAGGUGCUCGCCGCAGGUUAGACACUAUUGAAUCCUGUGGCAGCUCUGAGUAAACCUUUAAAAAAAUCAAAACUUUUAACAACGGAUCUCUAGAUCGGAAGAGCACACG